rnacentral:rRNA from 1 species
AGUUGUGGUUAGGGGUGAAAGGCCAAUCAAACUCGGAGAUAUCUGGUUCUCACCGAAAUGCCUUUAGGGGCAGCGUCACAUUAAAGUGUAUCGGGGGUAGAGCACUGAAUGGGCUAGGGGGCCUACAAGCUUACCGACCCCAAUCAAACUCCGAAUACCGAAUACAUGUUUUGUGGCAGUGAGGCUGCGGGGGAUAAGCUCCGUAGCCAAGAGGGAAACAACCCAGAUCAUCAGCUAAGGUCCCUAAGUCAAUACUAAGUGAUAAAGGAUGUUAAAUCGCCCAGACAGCUAGGAGGUUGGCUUAGAAGCAGCCAUCCUUUAAAGAAAGCGUAAUAGCUCACUAGUCAAGGGGUUUUGCGCCUAUAAUUUCCGGGACUAAGUAUUGCACCGAAGCUAUGGAUUUUAAUAGUUUACUAUUAAAGUGGUAGGUGAGCGUUCUAUUAACCUGUGAAGGUUGACCCGUGAGGGCAGCUGGAGGAGAUGGAAAUGAGUAUGCUGGCAUGAGUAGCGAUAAACACGGUGAAAUACCGUGUCGCCGAAAGUCCAAGGUUUCCUGAGUAAAGUAACUCUGCUCAGGGUUAGUCGGACCCUAAGCCGAGGCCGAAAGGCGUAGGCGAUGGAAAACGGGUUUAAUAUUCCCGUACCAGUUUUUAAUCGUUAUAACUAUGGGGGGACGCAGAAGUGAAAGGUCAGCCCGGUUUUGAUUGUCCGGGUUUAAGUGCGUAGAAGGGUUUGGUAGGUAAAUCCGCCGAACUAUUAACUUUGAGACACGAAUAGGAGGGCUUAGCCCAUAAACUGACCCUAAUCCUGCUGCCAAGAAAAUCCUCUGUGUAAGAUUAUAAACUGACCGUACCCUAAACGGACACACGUGGACGAGGAGAGUAUCCUAAGGCGCUUGAGAGAAUCCAGGUUAAGGAACUCGGCAAAUUAACCCCGUAACUUCGGGAGAAGGGGUGCCUUGAUUAGGUGAACACCUUUACGGUGGAAGCUGAAAAAGGCCGCAGUGACCAGGCCCAAACGACUGUUUACUAAAAACACAGGUCUCUGCUAAAUCGUAAGAUGAAAUAUAGGGACUGACACCUGCCCGGUGCCGGAAGGUUAAAUGGAAGUGUUAGCUUCGGCAAAGCUCCGAAAUGAAGCCCCGGUAAACGGCGGCCGUAACUAUAACGGUCCUAAGGUAGCGAAAUUCCUUGUCGGGUAAGUUCCGACCUGCACGAAUGGUGCAACGAUUUGGGCACUGUCUCAACCUGGAGCUCAGCGAAAUUGAAGUGUCGGUGAAGAUACCGGCUACCCGCGGCAGGACGAAAAGACCCCGUGAACCUUUACUACAACUUAGUAUUGAAUUUUUGUUAUGCAUGUACAGGAUAGGUGGGAGGCUUUGAAGCGUGGACGCUAGUUCAUGUGGAGCCAACCUUGAAAUACCACCCUUGUAUUGCGAGACUUCUAAUCCCGACCCGUGAAUCCGGGCGAGAG